UCUACGGUAACUUAAUCAGUCUUUAUUUUUGCUCAUAGGUCAAAUUAAAGAUCGCCAGGAAUAGAAAACAUAGAUCUUUUACCCCAUCCUGGAAAAAUGCUACAAAUGAACCAGUUGUCUUUCUGCAUAAAAACGAUUGUACUGCAUCUGACCACUCAACCAACCUUAUAAUAUAGAUGCAUUCCAAGAAUCCCAGUGGAUGUCUGAAACUGUGGAGAGUACCAAAUGCUAUGCAAUAAUAGCAAUGAAUGAGAGCUCCUGUCGCUCCAUAUCUUUACCAGCAUUUGAUGUUGUCAGUGCUUUGGACUUUGGCU